rnacentral:misc_RNA from 1 species
AAGGAGUCUGACAUAUAUGCGAGUAUUUGGGUGGCAAAACCUUAUGCGUAAUGAAAGGGAAAAGGUGGGAUCCGUUAGGUGCACAAUAGACAGCGCCAGAUUAUUACUAUCUCGGCGUGAGUAUGAGCAUACAUGCUGGGACCCGAGAGAUGGUGAACUAUGUUUGAAUAGGGUGAAGCCAGAGGAAACUCUGGUGGAGGCUCGUAGAGGUACUGACGUGCAAAUCGAUCUUCAAAUUUGGGUAUAGGGGCGAAAAACUAAUCGAACCAUCUACUAGCUGGUUCCCUC